rnacentral:misc_RNA from 1 species
GAUGAAGAACGUAGCGAAAUGCGAUAAGUAAUGUGAAUUGCAGAAUUCAGUGAAUCAUCGAAUCUUUGAACGCACAUUGCGCCCCUUGGUAUUCCGAGGGGCAUGCCUGUUCGAGCGUCAUAUUAACCACUCCCGCUUGCGGGGUCUUGGGCUUCGCCUCCGGGCGGGCCUUAAAAUCAGUGGCGGUGCCGUCGGGCUCUACGCGUAGUAAAUUUUCUCGCGAUAGGGUCCCGGUGGAUGCUUGCCAACAACCCCCAACUUCUUAAGGUUGACCUCGGAUCAGGUAGGGAUACCCGCUGAACUUAAGCAUAUCAAUAAGCGGAGGGA